rnacentral:ncRNA from 1 species
UUAAUUUGAUUCAAGACAGAGAAACUUACCAUGUCUUGAUAUUGUAAUAAUUGACAAAUUGAGAGCUCUUUUUUUAUCCAUGGGUGGGUGGUGCACGAUUGAUCUUUAUUAGUGGAGCAAUUUGUCUAAUUAUUUUCGUUAAAGAAUGAGACCUAACUGUCUAUACGGUUCAAGAAUUCAAACCAAUAGACCAUGCACAUAUCAGCAAGUUAGGCAAACAAUAGGCCUAGGCCCGCACUCGGGUAGAAUUGUUUACACUUUGAUUUGAACU